UACGUAGGGGGCGAGCGUUGUCCGGAAUUAUUGGGCGUAAAGAGCGUGUAGGCGGUUCGGUAAGUCUGCCGUGAAAACCUGGGGCUCAACCCCGGGCGUGCGGUGGAUACUGCCGGGCUAGAGGGUGGUAGAGGCGAGUGGAAUUCCCGGUGUAGCGGUGAAAUGCGCAGAUAUCAGGAGGAACACCAAUAGCGAAGGCAGCUCGCUGGGACGUUACUGACACUGAGGCGCGAAAGCGUGGGGAGCGAACAGG
rnacentral:rRNA from 1 species